AAGAUAAACUUGCAUCUGAAAUGUAAACAUAACCUGUAGUUCAGCAGGCUUCUGAAACCAGCUAGGGAGCUGGGGAGCUGCAGGCAGAGGUGGGUCAGCCAGUGCUGUUUUCUUCCUGAAACUGAUGGAGAAGCCCACAAAAUUCAGUCCACAAAACUGCUGGUUGUUCUUACUGUCAGCAUUAAUGGAGGAAAACAAGUUUAUUCCAUGAACAGAAAGGGAGACAAUAGCCUGAUCUUCCCCCUCUUCGUGUACCAGCAAGACUUCAGGAUGGCAGUCUUUGAUGAGAUUCUGAAACAUCAAAUCAGGAAAUGAUGGGAAUAAGCUGAUUUCUUCCUGAGCUAACACUGAGAGCAGCAUUGCAUGUCUGAUGGAGAACAGCAAACAAGUGAGAGAGAAAAGGUUCUUUCAGAAGUUUCAGCAACUCUUUGCAAUGACCAGGAAUAUGAAACUCUGUGUGCUCUGUGUUUCUUGGAUACCUGUUUGAAAUGCUCCAAGUGCUUAAGUUAUUGCAGAUGAUGUCAUCCUGCAGACUGUGCAAAUGACCAGCAGGCUCUGAUCCCUGCACUGAUCUGGCUUUUGAUUAAAAAAAGAUGUUACAAGGUUUCCAUUCAUUUAAAUGGGGAUAUGAUCAGACCAUUAGCUGCUCUUUUAUUUCUUUUGAAUAAUGAAAUAUUAUACAAAUAAUUCAGAGGAGCUGUUAGUAAUGCAAGUCCUUUCAAUUGUUAGCUUUUCUUUGUUAUAAGAUGAUUUAUAAUGAAUUAUUUUCAACUCUUUUGUGUUAGAGCUUUGUUCUGUAUGGUCCUUAAAAUUUUUUUAGCAAGAUAUUUCUCUUGCAUUCAAGUCAUUGCAAAAACCAGUGAUGAGUUCUCAAGCAUGGCAUUCUUUCCCUGUGAUUUCUGCAGUUUGUGCUGUUUUCUAUUGUAAGUUGUGCACAGUAUAUCUGGUGGAUUCUUUCCUGCUUCCAGAGCAGGGAGGAGAGGGUGGCUUUUGAUUUUCUCAUUCUUAAUGAAUGGAAAAAUAGCAUUGCUUUGACUCUUUAAUUUACAGUCAUAAAACUGCCCAAAGUUUACUUGGCAAAAAAGGAGUGAAGAACUUCUGACCUGCUGGAAAGGAGUGUUUCUCUCUGGAUUCACCUCCCAGCCGCUUCCAGCAAUCAGUCUUUCCCAUUUACAUUUGUCAGUUCAUAAACAGUUCAUAAUUUUUGUUGAUAAAGAUCAGACAUCAAAUUUUGUACCAGAAAAAAAGAUACCUGAUUAAAUACAAGGGCUGCUC
rnacentral:lncRNA from 7 species